UACGUAGGGCGCAAGCGUUAUCCGGAAUUAUUGGGCGUAAAGAGCUCGUAGGCGGUUUGUCGCGUCUGCCGUGAAAGUCCGGGGCUCAACUCCGGAUCUGCGGUGGGUACGGGCAGACUAGAGUGCAGUAGGGGAGACUGGAAUUCCUGGUGUAGCGGUGAAAUGCGCAGAUAUCAGGAGGAACACCGAUGGCGAAGGCAGGUCUCUGGGCUGUAACUGACGCUGAGACGCGAAAGCGUGGGGAGCGAACAGG
rnacentral:rRNA from 1 species